rnacentral:rRNA from 1 species
AACGCUAGCUACAGGCUUAACACAUGCAAGUCGAGGGGAAACGACAUCGAAAGCUUGCUUUUGAUGGGCGUCGACCGGCGCACGGGUGAGUAACGCGUAUCCAACCUGCCCACCACUUGGGGAUAACCUUGCGAAAGUAAGACUAAUACCCGAUGAUAUCUCUAGACGACAUCUGAAAGGGAUUAAAGAUUUAUCGGUGAUGGAUGGGGAUGCGUCUGAUUAGCUUGUUGGCGGGGUAACGGCCCACCAAGGCGACGAUCAGUAGGGGUUCUGAGAGGAAGGUCCCCCACAUUGGAACUGAGACACGGUCCAAACUCCUACGGGAGGCAGCAGUGAGGAAUAUUGGUCAAUGGGCGAGAGCCUGAACCAGCCAAGUAGCGUGCAGGACGACGGCCCUAUGGGUUGUAAACUGCUUUUAUAAGGGAAUAAAGUGAGUCUCGUGAGACUUUUUGCAUGUACCUUAUGAAUAAGGACCGGCUAAUUCCGCGCCAGCAGCCGCGGUAAUACGGAAGGUCCGGGCGUUAUCCGGAUUUAUUGGGUUUAAAGGGAGCGUAGGCCGGAGAUUAAGCGUGUUGUGAAAUGUAGACGCUCAACGUCUGCACUGCAGCGCGAACUGGUUUCCUUGAGUACGCACAAAGUGGGCGGAAUUCGUGGUGUAGCGGUGAAAUGCUUAGAUAUCACGAAGAACUCCGAUUG